CGGGAGGCAGCAGUUAGGAAUCUUCCGCAAUGGGCGAAAGCCUGAUGGAGCGACGCCGCGUGAGGGAUGAAGGCCCUCGGGUUGUAAACCUCUAAAAGGGGGACGAUAAUGACGGUACCCCUUGAAAAGCACCGGCUAACUCCGUGCCAGCAGCCGCGGUAAUACGGAGGGUGCAAGCGUUAUCCGGAAUCACUGGGCGUAAAGGGCGUGUAGGCGGCCUGUUAAGUCCGAUGUUAAAGACCGGGGCUCAACCCCGGCACGGCGUUGGAUACUGGCAGGCUAGACGGCUGGAGAGGAGAGUGGAAUUACCAGUGUAGCGGUGGAAUGCGUAGAUACUGGUAGGAACACCCAUUGCGAAGGCAGCUUUCUGGACAGCCCGUGACGCUGAGGCGCGAAAGUGUGGGGAGCAAACCGGAUUAGAUACCCGGGUAGUCCACACCCUAAAC
rnacentral:rRNA from 1 species